GCCCGGCUAGCUCAGUCGGUAGAGCAUGAGACUCUUAGUAAUACGGCAACUUUGUGGUGCCCUAGAGCUAUCUCAGGGUCGUGGGUUCGAGCCCCACGUUGGGCG
rnacentral:tRNA from 1 species